rnacentral:tRNA from 5 species
GGAGAGGUGGCUGAGUGGUCGAAAGUACCGCACUCGAAAUGCGGCGUGGGGUAACUCCACCGUGGGUUCGAAUCCCACCCUCUCCGCCA